UACGGAGGGGGCGAGCGUUGUCCGAAGUUACUGGGCGUAAAGCGCGCGUAGGCGGGUUGCUAAGUCCGCUGUGAAAGCCCGAGGCUUAACCUCGGAGGGUCGGUGGAUACUGGCAGUCUUGAAUAUCUUGGAGGUAAGCGGAAUAUGUCAUGUAGCGGUGAAAUGCUUAGAUAUGACAUAGAACACCAAUUGCGAAGGCAGCUUACUACGCGAUAAUUGACGCUGAGGCACGAAAGCGUGGGGAUCAAACAGG
rnacentral:rRNA from 1 species